rnacentral:snRNA from 1 species
AUUGCUUCUUGGCCUUUUGGCUAAGAUCAAGUGUAGUUUGUUUAUGUAGUGGAUUACAUUUAUUGACUUAUAUAUGUUGAAUCAUCUCUGCAUCUCUGAGAUGAAACCAACUUGAUUA